AUGCUUCAAAAGUAUCAAUCGAAGAAGGCAAAAAUCACCAAAACAAACUUUGUUGCUUACCUGUGCAAGGAUAUGAGAAGGGGGUUACAGCUAGUUCUCCAGAUUUCCGAAGUGAACUUUCAAUACGUAAGGUCGCCGCACCGCGCCUCCUUCUGUCCCUCACCUCCAUGUCUUCUUUCUGCCCAGGAGUCGCGGAUGCCAUGGAUCCACCUGGGAAGACGCGCUCCGACCUUCCUCGUCGUCACCAGCGACCCUCUCCUCGUCGCCCAUCUCUGGAUCCGCCUCCCCAACCCCUACCGCGCACGGAUCUGGACCCUUCAAGCUCCAGCAUCCACCGCUAUUCUGCAUCUAGCAGUCGUGCCGCCCCUAGUCACUCGAGCCGCCACGUUAUCCGGCCCAGAUUAG
rnacentral:rRNA from 1 species